GACGAACGCUGGCGGCGUGCUUAACACAUGCAAGUCGAACGGAAAGGCCCUGCUUUUGUGGGGUGCUCGAGUGGCGAACGGGUGAGUAACACGUGAGUAACCUGCCCUUGACUUUGAGAUAACUUCAGGAAACUGGGGCUAAUACCGGAUAGGAGCUCCUGCUGCAUGGUGGGGGUUGGAAAGUUUCGGCGGUUGGGGAUGGACUCGCGGCUUAUCAGCUUGUUGGUGGGGUAGUGGCUUACCAAGGCUUUGACGGGUAGCCGGCCUGAGAGGGUGACCGGCCACAUUGGGACUGAGAUACGGCCCAGACUCCUACGGGAGGCAGCAGCGGGGAAUAUUGCACAAUGGGCGGAAGCCUGAUGCAGCAACGCCGCGUGCGGGAUGACGGCCUUCGGGUUGUAAACCGCUUUCGCCUGUGACGAAGCGUGAGUGACGGUAAUGGGUAAAGAAGCACCGGCUAACUACGUG
rnacentral:rRNA from 1 species